rnacentral:lncRNA from 1 species
CCUCAACCCACAGUGUGCAUACGUGGGUCAGCUCAUCACCACGUUUGCACUUGGCUGUUUAAAUGAUCCCCAAGGAAGGCCAUGACACAGGCCUACCCUGAGGGUGAGCUGUAUUUACAAAGUGUGGCUACAGAGAACUGCCGAGAGUGGACUGUGUUUUCAUGUUGAGAGUCGUGUCACACCUCGUACACUUUCCAGAAUGAUAUAGGAAAUGCAUACAGAAGUGGGAUUUCUGCCCCAGGGGCGUACAGUCCUCCCUACUUACAAUCAAAAUUUUGUCCUAUAGGCCUCCCCGGGAUCUGGGCAUCUGAUCAACCUUAGGGCUGCCAGUCGGUUGGUGGUGCUUUGCAUGGGGCAGGCGUCAGUAGCCCCUGUGGAAACUACCGGAUCAGGACCAGAGCCUCACUGUACUGGCAUCACAUCACAGAGACUGAAGCUAUGAAGAUCAUGGAUGAGGCCAAGAGGCCCAGAGACGGGCAGGAGUCUUCUUGAGAUCACAGGGUGCAUAGCAGGAUGGGAACCGAUUUUCCAAGGCUGCUAUGGGCCCAGCCUGCCCUCCAGGGCCUUACAGCCCUUUCCACUACAGGGCAGGGUCCCUCCUGUGCACAGCUUGGGAGACUCUGUCCUCUCACCAGGGGAGCCCUGUGAUCACCUGGCUGGAGAGACCAAGUCCUGUGUUUCUGGAGUGGAUAGCUGUUUAGAGGUUAGUAAGAUAGUGGCUCAGAGCACAAUUUUGGAGCCAAGCAGAUCUGGACCCAAAUCCUGGACUCCUGGUUCACGGCCCACAUGACCCAGACUGUGGACAGGAACAACCAACAGGAGCGAAAGCCAAGGGCAAGAGUGAAAGCAAGGGCGGCUGCCUUUCUCACCGCUGUUGUUCCACCACUCGAGCCACGCCGCCAGCCCUUCUCACCAUCCUUGAAGGCAGGGCUGUGUGCUGAUGAGUCUACCGAAAGGAGUGGCUUGCAAGCUGAUUGUCCCUUUUGAUGACACACGAGGGGAGGUAGUGGCUGUGGUCCCAGCUGCGCCUCUCUCCCCUCCCUGGUGGUGAGGGCACAGGGGUCCACUGCCGGCCACUUGAGCCAAGGCUUCCUGUGCAGCACGAGCAGCCUCUGCAGACGCUAAGGAGUUGGUGUUUGGCGCCCGGUACAGGAAACUCUGGGCACCACUUCUGGGAACACAAGACAUUUAAGUGACUUCCUUACUGAAUAUUUCAUGAUUUACAUUAAUGGCUUUCUGGUGUUUUUCAUAACACAACUAUCUACAUUAUGAUGGGUUAAAAUGUGGUUAUUCCAGCCACUCUCACUCUGAAAUCUCUC